CAAGGCCUCAGUGUUUAGUUUGCCUAAAUGUUCCUGUUCCUUUCUUUUCUGUAGAGCUGUAUCCUCCAGGUGGAGUUCACCAAGCCUGAGAAAGGUGGGCUAGGCUUUGCUCUGGUGGGCGGGUUCAAUGGGAGCACACUAAGAGUGAAGGAUAUUUGUUGUGGGGGUGUGGCCGAGCAGGACGGUCGUCUCCGUGUAGGUGACAUUCUUUUGGAGGUGAAUGGCAUCAUUGUAUCAGGACUGAGUCACAGUAAAGUUGUGGAUAUUUUACGGAAGGCAGAGGGUACUGUUCAGCUGACGGUAUGUAGGGACAUCCUGCCCAUGUCACCCUGCUCUGGUUCCAGCUCCCCUGCUGAGGCCUCUCAGGAAUUCAUCACAUCAAAUUCUGCAGAUAUUACAUCACAAACAGAAACACAUGCAGAUCAUGUGUCUUUCCCGACCUCAGAAUGUCCUGGUCUUGGAGGGGAAUGUGAGCAGGUAUCAUUUUUUUUUUUUUUACAGUAUCAUUUAGAUUAAACUU
rnacentral:lncRNA from 1 species